UACGGAGGGGACUAGCGUUGUUCGGAAUUACUGGGCGUAAAGCGCACGUAGGCGGAUUGUUAAGUCAGGGGUGAAAUCCCGAGGCUCAACCUCGGAACUGCCUUUGAUACUGGCAAUCUCGAGUCCGGAAGAGGUGAGUGGAACUGCGAGUGUAGAGGUGAAAUUCGUAGAUAUUCGCAAGAACACCAGUGGCGAAGGCGGCUCACUGGUCCGGUACUGACGCUGAGGUGCGAAAGCGUGGGGAGCAAACGGG
rnacentral:rRNA from 1 species